GACGAACGCUGGCGGCGUGCCUAAUACAUGCAAGUCGAGCGGACCUUCGGGGUUAGCGGCGGACGGGUGAGUAACACGUGGGUAAUCUGCCCAACUGACUGGAAUAACGCCUGGAAACGGUGCUAAUGCCGGAUAGGCAACUGGUAGGCAUCUACCGGUUGGGAAAGGUGCAACUGCACCGCAGAUGGAGGAGCCCGCGGCGCAUUAGCUAGUUGGUGGGGUAACGGCCUACCAAGGCGACGAUGCGUAGCCGACCUGAGAGGGUGGACGGCCACACUGGGACUGAGACACGGCCCAGACUCCUACGGGAGGCAGCAGUAGGGAAUCUUCCGCAAUGGGCGCAAGCCUGACGGAGCAACGCCGCGUGAGCGAAGAAGGCCUUCGGGUUGUAAAGCUCAGUCACUCGGGAAGAGCGGACGAGGGAGUGGAAAGCCCUCGUCGAGACGGUACCGAGAGAGGAAGCCCCGGCUAACUACGUG
rnacentral:rRNA from 1 species